GACGAACGCUGGCGGCGUGCUUAACACAUGCAAGUCGAACGGAGAUUAUUAAUGAAGCUUGCGAUUUAAUAAUCUUAGUGGCGCACGGGUGAGUAACACGUAUGCAACCUACCUUCAACAGGAGGAUAACCCGUUGAAAGACGGACUAAUACUCCAUGACACAGGGGUCCCGCAUGGGGAUAUUUGUUAAAGAUUAGUCGGUUGAAGAUGGGCAUGCGUUCCAUUAGCUUGUGGCGGGUAACGCCAC
rnacentral:rRNA from 1 species